rnacentral:tRNA from 1 species
UGCCCAAUGGUCAAAUUGGUUAAGACGUCGCCCUCUCAAGGCGGAAUUACGGGUUCGAGCCCCGUUUGGGCGAUCA